rnacentral:rRNA from 1 species
UACGUAGGUGGCAAGCGUUGUCCGGAUUUACUGGGCGUAAAGAGCGCGCAGGCGGUCGUUCAAGUCGCGUGUGAAAGCCCCCGGCUCAACUGGGGAGGGUCACGCGAAUACUGAUCGACUCGAAGGCAGGAGAGGGUAGUGGAAUUCCCGGUGUAGUGGUGAAAUGCGUAGAUAUCAGGAAGAACACCCGUGGCGAAGGCGGCUCUCUGGGACGGUACUGACGCUGAGACGCGAAAGCGUGGGGAGCGAACAGG